rnacentral:rRNA from 1 species
ACGUAUGGAGCAAGCGUUAUCCGGAUUUACUGGGUGUAAAGGGAGCGUAGGCGGUCCUGCAAGUCUGAUGUGAAAACCCGGGGCUCAACCCCGGGACUGCAUUGGAAACUGUAGGACUAGAGUGUCGGAGGGGUAAGUGGAAUUCCUAGUGUAGCGGUGAAAUGCGUAGAUAUUAGGAGGAACAUCAGUGGCGAAGGCGGCUUACUGGACGACCACUGACGCUGAGGCUCGAAAGCGUGGGGAGCAAACAG